ensembl:lncRNA
UUUAGUUACCUAAAUUGUAGUUAAAAGCAAAAAUCUGGUCCCUUUGAAAUGUUGCUGAAGAAUCAGACAUCACAUUGUGAUUCACUUCAGACGUGCUGGGGCUGAGUUAAUCAGCGAUUGUCAGUAUAGAGCUGGCAAUAACAAGGUGAUACAGAGAACAAGGCAUGUUACAUAAGAGCACAUUUUCUUGUAGCCUGGAUUUCAAACAAUAAUGGCACAUAUGGCAUGGAAGAACAAUAUCUCCUUCAAUUUGGGAAAAAGGAAAACUCAGCUUUCCUGCAGAGAAUCUCAGCCUGUGGUAGGUUCUAUUGGGUCUGAAGAAAGCAUGGACUAUAUCUGUGAUCAAGAACCAUCU